ensembl:lncRNA
CCUGGCCCGGCUGGCUGGCUCUCUGCUCCACCCCGAGGGCACCACGCAGUCACGGGAAGGCGCACUGAAGCAGCGAGGGCCCCCUCGGUUAGCACUGGAAAAUCGGUUCCUAGAAUUUGACCAGUGAAUCAUAGUGAAGAAAUGCAAACUCGAGUGCAUUUCUUGUUUUUCCUCCUUCCCCUUGAGAGAUGGCGGCCCUCGCUGGGCCGCACCCCACCCCACGCAGACGCGGAAGGAGAUAGCACCCUCCAGCCUCAUCAGGAAUGGGUAAACCUGACCCCAGAUGAGAAAACUGAGCUGCAAAGAGCUAGAGUGGCUGGUCCUGGUUUAGAGAGAACAUAUGCCCAAAACGUUAACUCGGGAGGAAACAGGAGCACCGGAACACGAGUCCGAGAGCCUGGCUCCAGGCCAGCCCUGCCCUGCGAGGAGACCCACAGCCUCGUGGGGCCAUCUGGCUCCUGCCCCAACGGUCUGCAGGUCAGCCAGGGUGAUUCUGUUUCAUUCUGUGGGUCGGCUUGAUCGAGCUCCAGGCCACAGGGUGGAUUUGGCUCAGCUCCAUGACUGUCUUCUAGCACCAUCAGCUGCCUGGGACAUGCUGGCCUUGCAGCACAUGGCAGAAGCUUAAGCAGCCAGGCCAAAAAACAACCACGUUGCAAGCCAGUGCUUUGUCACCUCCACUAAUUGACCAACAAAUUGACCAAAGCAAGUGGAUGGCCAAGCCCUUGCUUCAGUGGGCUGGGGAAAUCCUCUGCACCCUCCAGGGGAUGGCACUGCAGAGUCCCCUGGCAACGAGCACAGGCGUGUGACCCCGUUACAGGAGGGAACGAGAACUUGAGAAUAAUAUCCAACUUGCCCCAAGAGGUUUCAGCGAUGAGAACUCCAGCCUCACGUGGGGACACACGUGACCCAAGGUUACACAGCUGGUUACGGUGAUUGCAAUUGGGAUUCUGACCCGGGCUGUCUGACGCCAAAGCCGCUCUGUCCCCACAGAUGGUCACAAGGACCUGCUACAGAAGAGGUGCUCAGUAAAUUACUAAUGCAUUAUUAAAGUGUACGCCUCAAAGACAUUGCAGUCGAUGAAACCAUUGCAUUAUUCUUAAAAAGAAACUUUAAAGAAAAGGGAAAAAAUGAUCAGACAAUAAACGCAAUGUUAGCACCCGGUGCAGGACUGGAUUCUGAAGAUCAUCAGGAGAGGGCUGGGGCCCAGCGUGCUCAGCAAGAACCAGGAGGCUCCGGUGACCGAACGAGGGGCUGGCCCUGGAAAGGGGAGGCUGCCCCGGGGGGAGACGCCAAAGGAGGCCUGGUUCUUCUCAAGAACCAAAGGCUGAGAGAGAGCCUGCCGGCCUGGAGACAGAGCAGCCGUAGGGAAGGAGAGAGCAUGUGAGUCACACGAUGCCUUGGAGUUUCAGCAAAAACAAAGGGAAGAUGUUCAGUGAGAGGAAAGGAUGGAGCAUCCGCCCCGCCUGUGGAUGAGCACAGAGGAGGGACGUGCAGCUGACAGAUGAAGUGACAGCGCCGGGCCGUCUCCACUUGGCCGCACCCCCGCCCCGAAUCAACGGCCCAGGCAGUCACGGGCACCCACCUGCUGACCUCCAAAAAGCAGGAACAGAGGGCCUCGCGCCUGGUGGGGAAACGCCACACCUGUGCCGUCGUCUUGCCAGACACCGCACACCUGAAUCUGGACUGGCCUCUAGGCCCGGUGCCGACCUACAGGAAGUACACGGAGCAGAGAAACAGGUUCAAAACCACCACGGGGGCGCAGUCAGCCAAAGCCAGGCCAAAGGAGACCCUCCAGGACAACACAUCGCGAGGACAGCACGAGGCUGGGGGGCCUUUAGAGAGGAGAUUUCCAAUACUGUGUAGACGCCGCUGGCUCAAAUAAAAAUAAUUACCCAUGAGUGCAGGUUGUAUAUAUUUUACAUGCUAUGCAGUUAUAUGUUGACUACGUAAAUAGAAUUAUAGAUUAAAUAUCUAGUAUUUGAAUACACUAAAUAUUAUAUUAAAUAGAGAUGUGUUUAAAUAUUAAAUAUAAAUUGAGACCAUUGGAAAUUUGAUGACGUCACGUAGGUGUUUUACAUGUAUAAUUAUGUAUGGAACGGAUUUACACUUAUGAGAAACGCGAUGGCAUUGAUUUGGGUUUCUUAGGUAUUGUAGCUACGUAUUAAGUUUUGCAAGGCCCUCACUUUUCAGAGCUGCAUACUGAAGUAUUUCCAGAUGAAACAAUAUGAUGUCUGGGAUUUGCUUCAAAGUAAACAGGGAGAGGAAGGAGCGGGGACAGACGUGAAAUGGACUGAGCGUGAGCGAGCGUCGGGACAGCGGGGUGAGGGGCACACGGGCUGACAGACUAUUCUCUCUUUUUGUAAAUGUCUGAAAAUUUCCAUCAUGAGAAGAUAAAGCUAAGUAACUCCAAUAAUAAAUAAUUUAGAGAUUUUUCCCCAA